rnacentral:rRNA from 1 species
AACGAACGCUGGCGGCAGGCCUAACACAUGCAAGUCGAGCGAGAUUUUCGGAUCUAGCGGCGGACGGGUGAGUAACGCGUGGGAACGUGCCCUUUGCUUCGGAAUAGCCCCGGGAAACUGGGAGUAAUACCGGAUGAGCCCUACGGGGGAAAGAUUUAUCGGCAAAGGAUCGGCCCGCGUUGGAUUAGGUAGUUGGUGGGGUAAUGGCCUACCAAGCCGACGAUCCAUAGCUGGUUUGAGAGGAUGAUCAGCCACACUGGGACUGAGACACGGCCCAGACUCCUACGGGAGGCAGCAGUGGGGAAUCUUAGACAAUGGGGGAAACCCUGAUCUAGCCAUGCCGCGUGAGCGAUGAAGGCCUUAGGGUUGUAAAGCUCUUUCAGCUGGGAAGAUAAUGACUGUACCAGCAGAAGAAGCCCCGGCUAACUCCGUG